rnacentral:antisense_RNA from 2 species
UUUUAUGGUGGCUGUGCGCGGGGCGCCCUCGGGUGCGCCGGAUGCUCUGGACCGGUCGACUAACCUGCGUACAGCCGCCACCCUA